rnacentral:rRNA from 1 species
CGUGAGCGGGCGGGACGGGUGGAGUACGCGUGGGUAACCUGCCUCAUACAGGGGGAUAACAGUUGGAAACGGCUGCUAAUACCGCAUAAGCGCACAGUACCGCAUGGUACGGUGUGAAAAACUCCGGUGGUAUGAGAUGGACCCGCGUCUGAUUAGGUAGUUGGUGGGGUAACGGCCUACCAAGCCGACGAUCAGUAGCCGACCUGAGAGGGUGACCGGCCACAUUGGGACUGAGACACGGCCCAA